rnacentral:rRNA from 1 species
CGCUUCUUUCCUCCCGAGUGCUUGCACUCAAUUGGAAAGAGGAGUGGCGGACGGGUGAGUAACACGUGGGUAACCUACCCAUCAGAGGGGGAUAACACUUGGAAACAGGUGCUAAUACCGCAUAACAGUUUAUGCCGCAUGGCAUAAGAGUGAAAGGCGCUUUCGGGUGUCGCUGAUGGAUGGACCCGCGGUGCAUUAGCUAGUUGGUGAGGUAACGGCUCACCAAGGCCACGAUGCAUAGCCGACCUGAGAGGGUGAUCGGCCACACUGGGACUGAGACACGGCCCAGACUCCUACGGGAGGCAGCAGUAGGGAAUCUUCGGCAAUGGACGAAAGUCUGACCGAGCAACGCCGCGUGAGUGAAGAAGGUUUUCGGAUCGUAAAACUCUGUUGUUAGAGAAGAACAAGGACGUUAGUAACUGAACGUCCCCUGACGGUAUCUAACCAGAAAGCCACGGCUAACUACGUGCCAGCAGCCGCGG